rnacentral:rRNA from 1 species
GUCUACGGCCAUACACCCUGAACGCGCCCGAUCUCGUCUGAUCUCGAAGCUAAGCAGGGUCGGGCCCGGUUAGUACUUGGAUGGGAGACCGCCUGGGAAUACCGGGUGCUGUAGGCU